ACUUUCAGAGACGAUUGGUGCCAUUCGGGAACUCAGACACAGGUCCUGCAUGGUUGUCGUCAGCUCGUGUCGUGAGAUGUUGGGUUAAGUCCCGUAACGAGCGCAACCCUUGGUCCUUAGUUACCAGCACGUUAUGGUGGGAACUCUAAGGAGACUGCCGGUGACAAACCGGAGGAAGGUGGGGAUGACGUCAAGUCAUCAUGGCCCUUACGGCCAGGGCUACACACGUGCUACAAUGGUCGGUACAAAGGGUUGCCAAGCCGCGAGGUGGAGCUAAUCCCAUAAAACCGAUCGUAGUCCGGAUCGCAGUCUGCAACUCGACUGCGUGAAGUCGGAAUCGCUAGUAAUCGUGAAUCAGAAUGUCACGGUAAUACGUUCCCGGG
rnacentral:rRNA from 1 species